UGCCUAAUACAUGCAAGUAGAACGCUGAAGGAGGAGCUUGCUUCUCUGGAUGAGUUGCGAACGGGUGAGUAACGCGUAGGUAACCUGCCUGGUAGCGGGGGAUAACUAUUGGAAACGAUAGCUAAUACCGCAUAAUAUUGAUUAUUGCAUGAUAGUCAAUUAAAAGGUGCAAUUGCAUCACUACCAGAUGGACCUGCGUUGUAUUAGCUAGUUGGUGAGGUAACGGCUCACCAAGGCGACGAUACAUAGCCGACCUGAGAGGGUGAUCGGCCACACUGGGACUGAGACACGGCCCAGACUCCUACGGGAGGCAGCAGUAGGGAAUCUUCGGCAAUGGACGGAAGUCUGACCGAGCAACGCCGCGUGAGUGAAGAAGGUUUUCGGAUCGUAAAGCUCUGUUGUAAGAGAAGAACGAGUGUGAGAGUGGAAAGUUCACACUGUGACGGUAUCUUACCAGAAAGGGACGGCUAACUACGUGCCAGCAGCCGCGGUAAUACGUAGGUCCCGAGCGUUGUCCGGAUUUAUUGGGCGUAAAGCGAGCGCAGGCGGUUAGAUAAGUCUGAAGUUAAAGGCUGUGGCUUAACCAUAGUACGCUUUGGAAACUGUUUAACUUGAGUGCAAGAGGGGAGAGUGGAAUUCCAUGCGUAGCGGUGAAAUGCGUAGAUAUAUGGAGGAACACCGGUGGCGAAAGCGGCUCUCUGGCUUGUAACUGACGCUGAGGCUCGAAAGC
rnacentral:rRNA from 1 species